rnacentral:rRNA from 1 species
AUUGCCCUAGUAACGGCGAGUGAAGCGGCAACAGCUCAAAUUUGAAAUCUGGCCCUUUCAGGGUCCGAGUUGUAAUUUGUAGAGGGUGCUUUGGCGUCGGCUGCGGUCUAAGUUCCUUGGAACAGGACGUCACAGAGGGUGAGAAUCCCGUACGUGGCUGCUAGUCUUCGCCGUGUAAAGCCCCUUCGACGAGUCGAGUUGUUUGGGAAUGCAGCUCUAAAUGGGAGGUAAAUUUCUUCUAAAGCUAAAUAUUGGCCAGAGACCGAUAGCGCACAAGUAGAGUGAUCGAAAGAUGAAAAGCACUUUGGAAAGAGAGUCAAAAAGCACGUGAAAUUGUUGAAAGGGAAGCGCUUGCAGCCAGACUUGCCUGUAGUUGCUCAUCGGGACCCCGUCCCGUGCACUCUUCUGCAGGCGGGCCAGCAUCAGUUCAGGCGGCCGGACAAAGACCUCUAUCACGUAUCUUCCUUCGGGAUGACCUUAUAGGGGAGGUGUAAUGCGGCCAGCUUGGAUUGAGGUCCGCGCAUCUGCUAGGAUGCUGGCGUAAUGGCUGUAAGCGGCCCGUCUUGAAACACGGACCAAGGAGUCUAACAUCUAUGCGAGUGUUUGGGUGUCAAGCCCGGGCGCGCAAUGAAAGUGAACGGAGGUGGGAACCCCUCGGGGCGCACCAUCGACCGAUCCUGAUGUCUUCGGAUGGAUUUGAGUAAGAGCAUAGCUGUUGGGGACCCGAAGAUGGUGAACUAUGCCUGAAUAGGGUGAAGCCAGAGGAAACUCUGGUGGAGGCUCGCAGCG